rnacentral:sRNA from 1 species
GUUUGAAUCGAUUUCUGUGAGAC